rnacentral:rRNA from 1 species
CGCGUAGGCGGACUCUUAAGUCGGGGGUGAAAGCCCAGGGCUCAACCCUGGAAUUGCCUUCGAUACUGAGAGUCUUGAGUUCGGAAGAGGUUGGUGGAACUGCGAGUGUAGAGGUGAAAUUCGUAGAUAUUCGCAAGAACACCAGUGGCGAAGGCGGCCAACUGGUCCGAUACUGACGCUGAGGCGCGAAAGCGUGGGGAGCAAACA